ACUCCUACGGGAGGCAGCAGUGGGGAAUCUUGGACAAUGGGCGCAAGCCUGAUCCAGCCAUGCCGCGUGAGCGAUGAAGGCCUUAGGGUCGUAAAACUCUUUCGCCAGGGAUGAUAAUGACAGUACCUGGUAAAGAAACCCCGGCUAACUCCGUGCCAGCAGCCGCGGUAAUACGGAGGGGGUUAGCGUUGUUCGGAAUUACUGGGGCGUAAAGCGCGCGUAGGCGGACUAGUUAGUCAGAGGUGAAAUCCCGGGGGCUCAACCCCGGAACUGCCUUUGAUACUGCUAGUCUUGAGUUCGAGAGAGGUGAGUGGAAUUCCGAGUGUAGAGGUGAAAUUCGUAGAUAUUCGGAGGAACACCAGUGGCGAAGGCGGCUCACUGGCUCGAUACUGACGCUGAGGUGCGAAAGUGUGGGGGAGCAAACAGGAUUAGAUACCCUGGUAGGAUAGCG
rnacentral:rRNA from 1 species